GUCUAGUCAGGUCCUUUACUCACAGCUGUGAAAAAGCUCACUUAAACAGUGCCUUUCAAUGGAGGGUCUACUGUAUUUUUUUUUCCUACCCACCCCUUGACCUAGCACAUAGUCAGCAAUAAACAUCACUGGACGUGGAAUUGAAUUCUUGGGUAUUUUGUUCUGAGAAAGACCACCUUUGCCACCAUUUGGGUAACAACCCGUUCAAUGGAUAAGAGAGAGAACAGGCCAUGUCAUUUCACACGGGGUGAAUCUGGGAAAUGCACUUCCCACUGGAUUUGGAAGUAUUUAUCUUCUCUAAGUAGGAAAAGUCCAAUUAGAAUCCUCCAGGCUAAUAUUACUUGGUCACAGAUCCCUUUAUUUCCUUUAAGGUCACAUUCUUUCUGGAGUGUUCCAUGCCAUAAAACACAUGGUCAGGGAGCUUGUGUUGAAUCGAAUGUCCCUCCAGGCUCUCUUUCUUCGACUUGUCCCAUCUUUUCAGAUUGUUUUUGUGGCCACACGUCUCCAGCUUGAACCCAAGCAUCCCCCGGUUGCGAAACACCCGCAGCCCUGGGGCUGCAGGGCAGGCAUCUGCUUCCAGGCCAGACAAACAGAUAGAGCCUCUCUUCUCGGGCACCGGGUCUUUACGACCACAGCAGCUAUGUUGCUCUCAGGGUAAUCCCAAUCUAAACAGCCAAUAUUUAAAACGACAUAAACCUUUUCCUUGGGAGCAUC
rnacentral:lncRNA from 1 species